UCAAGCCCUGCUUGGUGUUGGGUGUCUGUCCCGCCCCUGCGCGUGGACUCGCCUCAAAUCCAU
rnacentral:rRNA from 1 species